AGGACUUUUAUAUACCUUUCAGAAUCAAACUCAACAGCCACCCUGAUAACAGUUUAUCUUGUUUAAACUCUUCAGGUAUAAAGCAACAGAAAAAAAGUGACAUGCAGCAUGUCAUUUAGUGAUUUGGAGAGUUUACUAGUCCUUAAUGUGCUUUUCAGGAACAAUAAAGGCUCAGAGGAUCAAAGAAGUGGCUGUGACAAGGACAUGUGCUUUAAAAGGUGGAGGGUAGCGUAAAUGCUAGUAACAGUCAUUUAGGGCACUUGGAGUUAAGGAGUAAUGAUGGUCUGACAGCCUCUAGCUGUUUGGAGAAAACGAGACGUGAGCAGUGGCUUUGAACAUCAGCCAGAUGAUUUUGUAGCGAGAUUCCUGCUCAGUCGGAGAUUUAACGGUGCUUCGCGAGGUAUCUGAAGCAUUAAAUGCGACAAGCUUUAGUCCCGGUUGGAACGCCUUGCAUCAUGUUUGUCUCAUUAUCCCACCACCCAGUAUAACGGAGAGAGGGGAGGUAAAACCUUUUUUGGAUGAAACUGGUGCUGCUGAUAGAGGUGGGGAUUUGAAUGCACAUCUCUCUGUAAGAUGUCUGAUUUAUCAUUCCAACUGGCCAAGGAAGGGAAAAACAGAAACAGAGGUGUGAGGUGUAGCCUUGAAUCCCUGGGUUUCUCCUUCAGAUAAGAGGGUGACUGGACAAUAAGACGUCAGGCUCUGAUCAGUUAUCCCACACUGCCAUCUGUGGGCAAAAUAGUGAACACCAUGUCUCAACAAGAAAAACAACAACAACAAAAAAAAAAAGAAUCACCUCUUACAUAAGUGAUCAUGUAUGAGCUGCUUCUCCACAAGGCACUCGAUCGACUGAAGAUGUGGAUGUGACCCACAUCCACUGCUCAGACACGCCGAGUCAGAGUUAAAGACACGGAAAGGGAGAUGGAGGCCACCGUCUUCUACGUCCUGCUGCGUUUCUCCUGGCUCAAAACCGCUGUCCCACGGGCUCCCCACUACCUUGGCCCUGGUCGAUAGCCACUAAUGAAAGGCGCCUUUAUGAAGGCAUCAGCUGCUUUCCCUCGUGGGGUAAGCGGCUCUAAUUUGAAGUAAUGGCUAUCGGCUGAGCCACUGAUUUAUUGAGCUGAUGAUUAGUGCGCGGUGUGAACACCGGCAAAAAGGAGGGAGGAGACGAGGAUGGAAAGGAAAAUAUAGAAGGGCAGGAGUAGAGCAGGAUGGAAAGGAAAAUAUGGGUGGUAGUGGCUGUGAUAGUGGCACAGUGUUGGAGUACGUCAUCAGGGGCGCCUGCAGGAUAUUAUCGGAGUGUAUGCAUAACACCACCGCUGCACCUGACCCACAGCCACAUCACCAACUCACAUCAUGUUGCACAACGCCAGCACAAACCUAAACCACACAAAUACAGGCCACAUGCACGUAAUGCGAUCUAAUAGGCUUUUUUUUUCUUUUUUUUCUUCAUAAUUCUUCAAAUUGUACUAAAUAAUGAAGACAGGGAACAAAGCCUGUGUGAUCGAUGGGAGGUGGAGGAUGGAGAUCUCCAGAUGAAGAGUCUGAGACAUCCAGAGGAGGAGAAGGUGAAGCAACAAUGUUUCAUUUCUACUCUUUUGGGAAAGUUACUGGAUUUAACUGCUAAACUCGCCUUGGCGUGACACUCAGGAAGAGUGCAGCAGAUGUCAUGGUAGGUCAACCGGGUGACCCAUUAACUCCUCGGUUUGCAAAACCACAC